UGGCAAAUAGCUCAGUCGGUAGAGCAUGAUACUUUUAAUCUCAAGGCCAUGGGUUCGAGCCCCACGUUGGGCCAA